UCCCCAAAUUUAUGGGCUUAUUUGCAAAUUUCCCGCACCCCAGCCGGCCGCGGGGGCUGGCUUGGCCGGCCGCGCGCGCUACGGGCACGAGCUGGGCUGGUUUCUGGGGCGGCGCGAGCGGGUUUCCUCUUUUUUUUUCUUGUUUUACACGGGCUGGUUUCAUGGGCUGCUGCUGGGCCAAGAACCACCUAGGCCUGAUACCGGUUCAGAUUUCACUUAAGUGAAAUCGAACGGUUCCGGACGGAGGGAUGCCCUGGAUCGGAUGGUCCUCGGUCA
rnacentral:lncRNA from 1 species